CAGCCGCCGCGGUAAUGCGGAGGGUGCAAGCGUUAAUCGGAAUUACUGGGCGUAAAGCGCACGCAGGCGGUCUGUCAAGUCAGAUGUGAAAUCCCCGGGCUUAACCUGGGAACUGCAUUUGAAACUGGCAGGCUAGAGUCUUGUAGAGGGGGGUAGAAUUCCAGGUGUAGCGGUGAAAUGCGUAGAGAUCUGGAGGAAUACCGGUGGCGAAGGCGGCCCCCUGGACAAAGACUGACGCUCAGGUGCGAAAGCGUGGGGAGCAAACAGGAUUAGAUACCCCUGUAGUCCCUGUCUCUUAUAC
rnacentral:rRNA from 1 species